rnacentral:rRNA from 1 species
CAGCAGUGGGGAAUAUUGCACAAUGGGCGCAAGCCUGAUGCAGCCAUGCCGCGUGUAUGAAGAAGGCCUUCGGGUUGUAAAGUACUUUCAGCAGUGAGGAAGGUGGAUAUGUUAAUAGCAUAUUCAUUUGACGUUAGCUGCAGAAGAAGCACCGGCUAACUCCGUGCCAGCAGCCGCGGUAAUACGGAGGGUGCGAGCGUUAAUCGGAAUUACUGGGCGUAAAGCGCAUGCAGGUGGUUUGUUAAGUCAGAUGUGAAAGCCCGGGGCUCAACCUCGGAAUUGCAUUUGAAACUGGCAAACUAGAGUACUGUAGAGGGGGUAGAAUUUCAGGUGUAGCGGUGAAAUGCGUAGAGAUCUGAAGGAAUACCGGUGGCGAAGGCGGCCCCCUGGACAGAUACUGACACUCAGAUGCGAAAGCGUGGGGAGCAAACAGGAUUUGAUACCCUGGUAG